rnacentral:misc_RNA from 1 species
AAGUUUAAUUUUAUAAUCAACUCAGUUUUAAUGGAAUUUUAUUAAAAUUUCAAUAAAAAAAAAAACUGAAACACCUAUGGUUGUCGGAUUAAACAUGUCUGUGGGAUUAUACAUGUCUGUAGUCGAUUAAAGGCUAAGAAAGACUGAAAUGCCAUGAAUCUCUAUGUAAUUUGCCUUUUUAUCCUCUUUGAACAUUUAUAGUUAGCUGGUUGUAUUCGCUUGGGUUCCAAUGGUUGAUUGAAUACUUGACUUACGUGUUCUAAUUCUUCUCAAUUUUCUAUUUUAGCUCCAACACUAGGCGGAUGGUAGCGCUGUAAAGUUUCCAUGGUUUGUAUUGUUUUUAGUGUGCUGAUUUGGCUAGAGCGUUUUAUGGGAUUGAGGUGUCUGCACGGGGCUGAAUUUGUGGCCUUCGCCUUUUCUCUGAUUAAUUGUUAGUGUAUAAAGGCCGUAAACUUUAAAUAGGAAUGGCAACAGGCGAGUUAGGGGAGUUGAUCACUCUCAUCAUCUCCGUCUUAUGGGAGUUUGGAAUCAGGGCACAACAGGGACUAGUAAAGGA